AACGAACGCUGGCGGCAUGCCUAACACAUGCAAGUCGAACGAGACCUUCGGGUCUAGUGGCGCACGGGUGCGUAACGCGUGGGAACCUGCCCUUAGGUUCGGAAUAACUCCCCGAAAGGGGUGCUAAUACCGGAUAAUGUCUUCGGACCAAAGAUUUAUCGCCUUUGGAUGGGCCCGCGUUGGAUUAGCUAGUUGGUAGGGUAAAAGCCUACCAAGGCGACGAUCCAUAGCUGGUCUAGAGGAUGAUCAGCCACACUGGGACUGAGACACGGCCCAGACUCCUACGGGAGGCAGCAGUGGGGAAUAUUGGACAAUGGGCGAAAGCCUGAUCCAGCAAUGCCGCGUGAGUGAUGAAGGCCUUAGGGUUGUAAAGCUCUUUUAACCGGGAUGAUAAUGACAGUACCGGGAGAAUAAGCUCCGGCUAACUCCGUG
rnacentral:rRNA from 1 species